AAGAAGAAGGUGCUGUGCACGGGCUCAUUUGACUACGUACGCAUAGUACUGUAUUAGAGGUAAAAAAAAAUUAUAUAAAUACUGUUCGGCUUCUCGCACAAACCGAUCGUUUCGUUUCUUAGGAUAUCAAUGUGUCGUCACGAGCGGCAGGGUUUAAUUUGGAUUUGUCUGUGCAUGUUUUUACUGUCUGAGAUUUUGUUACUAUUCACAUGCAUACAGACUGAAACGGUUGGAGUUUCUACAUUUGUGUUGUACUGAAGAAACAAAAUCACAUACAUCUUGGAUGGCCUCGGGGUAAGCUGAUAAAUACAAAAAAUUCAUUUUAAGAUGAAUCCCGUACGUUGGCGGCUGUUUUAAACUGGGUGCUCGGCUCCGACCCUUUUGCCAGUAUGAAGCCGAUUUCAACGGUAACUGCAGAAAGCGUCAGCACGCUCAGCUCAUCACUGGAGUAACGUCUGUACAACGGGUGAGAUAAAACUCAACGCCUGACUGAAUCAUCCAUUCCCUUUUCGAUCCUACGCCAUACGUUAAACUUGAGGUAAGUCUUGUGUUCAGUUUCCUUAAAAAGCAUCAACAUUCACGCUAAGCAUAGUUUCAAUCGAGUUCCCGUCACAUCAUAUAUUAACUCUAUUUCGAACUGUUGCUGAUUACAUGUUGGUUAUUAUUGAUUCGUUCAUGUUCCUUUGACAUGUUCAUGUACUUUUUUCCAGAUGAAACAAACAUAAAGAAUUCAUAAUUCAUUUAAGAAUUAUUAAUUAGGACAACAUCAAAUUAUUUAUCAUGUCUGAGAAAAGUAGUGCAAAUUUUGGAUAAUAUGAAAGUGGCUCCAACUUUUAUGGCGCGAACGAAGCUAGCAUUGACUAGCUGGGAUGUUAAAUAAUGGGACGCAAUUUUUAUUAAAUGCAAUUUACGUGAUUAAUAUUUACAAGCAUAGUGUUCUUUGGAAGAAAAUUAAGUGGAACAAAAUGUUAGCUGGUAGUGCUGUGACAAAUCGCAGUUGAUCCGAACCACGGUUCGGCUCGCAUGUGAUUCGCGGAUUAAUAUAUACCAGUGUAUGGAAUGUCACAAUUAUAGAUUUGUAUGUAAACUUAAACAUGUCUUGAUGGACCCUAAUUUAUGCACUGUGCAGUUAUGCUGGUAGUUGGGUAAUGUCAUAAUGGUUAUUGGGUUGGGCUUGGACUAAAAAAGGGAAAUUGUAAUGGUUUAGUAUAAUAAGACAUUAUGUAUGGUUUUGUACAAUGCUAAUCUUUUUUUCUUUUUUCCUCAGGUAAUCUUGCUUUUGCUGUUCUAAAAUAAACACUGCUCUUAGCGCUUAGUCCACCAUCGUGGUCUCCAAUCUCCAUUACCAACAGCCUGAGUGCUACACCUACAGACACCCCAACCCAUGCAGCAGCUGGCAGAAGUCAGACAUCAGGCCAAACUGGAUUUCAACACACCCCACCCUUACAUGGCACACAAGUAUAUGACACACAACACAGCUCAGGAGGCUGUGCCUACAGCAAUAGGCUUUAUGCCCAGCUGCACUACUUCCUGAACUUCAGCCAGCUCCUUGUUUCCUGUCUGCCAUUAUUGGACAAACUGAUUAAUCCAGGUGUGCCUGAGCUUAGUAGUCACAACAACAAUAAUCAGACACACCUGGAUUUAUCAGUUUGUCCAGUAAUGGCAGACAGGAAACAAGGAGCUUAAAGCCUAUUGCUAAGGAGAUCCUCAUCCAGCUCGAUUUUAUUAGAGAGCAGCAGUUGCAGACUUCACCCCAGACCCAACACAUUUUGGGCUCCCACUUUCAACUAUUGAGGAGCUACAAUGUUUGUAGGAGACAUUAAAUAAUCCAGAUGAGAAGAAGAAUUUGGUGAGACUGUGUUUCCUGCAAUGGUCGGAGACAAGACUCUUAAAGACACCGUGGGGUGGGUCCUGAAAAAAACAAUGAACUCUUCGUGGUGAGACUCAUCAAUUGAAGUGGGGUCAACUGAACGCCUGCAUUCAAAGGGCUCACUUUGAAAAGUGUGGUUUUGGAUGCAGUCCGCCGGAAUGCCCUGACCAAAGAUAACACAGAAAAGGAGAUAGAGCUCCUCAUCACCAGGUGGUCGGUGCUAGCAUAUGACAGGGAUGGUGGCCGAAUCCAGACAAUAGACAGACAAUGAAUUAAAAUGUUUUAAAUUUAAAAAUGUUGAUUUUUGGAAAAUUCGUAUUUGAACUGAUUGUGUGUGUGUGUGCACCUGGUAAUUAUCACGUUGUGUCCCCACAAAGAUAGGAAUACCAGUAUUUUUGUGACCUUGUGUCCCCAUGAGGAAACAAGCUUAUAAAUCAAACAAAAUGAUGUUUCUUGUAAAUGUGAAGUAGGAGAAGGGUUUCUGUGAUGGUUGGGUUUAGGGAAUGGGGUAGGUAAGGGGAAUAAAAUAUACAGUUUGUAUGGUAUAAAAUGCAUUACGUCUAUGGAAUGUCCCCACAAAACAUGGAAACCUGUUUGUGUGUACGAGAGAGAGAGAAUGUGUGUUCAAGUGAAUAAAAAUGCAUUAAACGUGAAAUCCUUGUUCUUCCUUGU